ensembl:lncRNA
GGAGGAUAUUAGCUCAUGGGUGGCACUUCAGUACCAUCACUGUAUCGCUUCCACUCCUGUCUUGGCAUGGAUCUUGAGAGUUCCAGGAAGAGAGCAGGAUGAAGACUGAAGGCUCCUAAUUGAGCCAGACGCUGCAGCCAGCUUCCUGCUUUGCUAAAGGCAUAAUUUUCAAACAGAAGUGAUCCAAGCUACUUGAGGAGGCAGAAAGCAUCACAUCCACAAAAACAACGCUGUUAAGAACUUCUGUACGUGUAAGUGACAACAGGAUGGUUAUGAGAGCUCUGUGUAGUGAUUCAUUCUUCCAGGAGCUCCCAACAUUUAACGUUACUUUCUGACCUCACCAGGCAGCAGUCGUAAGCAGCUUAUAUAAUAAUGACAAAUGUGAAAAAUGGCAUUAAAGGAAAUCACUAUAGUCACUGGAAAAAAAGUGUCUGUUGUGGAGCUGAAUGUUAGUUUGUGGUCAGUUCUGUACAAGGCAGUACUUUUCAUUUUACGAGCAGGAUGAUGUAUUUUAUAACACCUCCCUUCCCCUGAGAGCUGAAAAGUAAAAUGUGAACUCUUUAUAGUGUCUCCGAUGUAACUGUGAGACACCAAAUUUCUCCAGAUCAGGCAAAUUUCUCAGUGUUGCAUAAGGCAAAAAAGUAGAAUCCCAGCCAUUCUGUCAUGUUUUUAUUUGGUUGUAAUGCUGACAGGUCCAUGGACUUGUUUUCAUCAUUAGUGGGCACAGUUAGGCACUUUUUUAUUUACUUAUUUAUUUUUAAUACUUGUCCUGUGUCUUUUUGCAACUGAACAGUCCUUUGAAGCUGGGAAAUUGCAUUAAGAUGAGCAAAAAGAAAAAGGAAGGAUUUCUCUCGUUGGCACUGCCAUAUGUCUUUCCAGGUGGAAGUACGACAGGGCACAGCAAGGCAGGGAUUGUAAAGGGGACCCUGUUGUGUGUGGCUCCUGGAAAGCAUAUGGUGCAGCAGUGUCUCAGCUCUGACUGUGAAUUUUUCAUCUUGUGUUCUCUGGUAAAUAGAAUAAUUCCAUUGUAUGCUCCAAUUUUCUGUUUGUGCUUAGGGACAGAGUGCUGCUUCAUCACCAGUACUGCCUUCUGGGUCAGGACCUACCUCAGAGAGAACCUUGGAAGAAACACAGUAAAGGGGACUGAAUGAAACCCUCAUGACUGCUCCGCACUCGUUCCUUAAUAGCACACCCUGGUCACGUCUCCGUGCGAGCACAUUGCGCUGGGAUUGCUGAGCAGAAGCAGCAAGGAGCUGAUGGCGAUGCAUUUCCAGCACGGGCUGCCAGAGCCCUCUGUUUGCCAUUGGCUGCGGUUUUCUGGUUUAUUUGCAGCCUCCCCCAUCUGGAAUAUGAAAAUUGGAUUGGAGUAGGUAAUUGCUAGCAGCGGGUUUUCGAGAGAGGCUUGGUGGGAGCAGAAUGCCUCUCGCACAGCACUGCCUGCGCUGAAAGAGCUCUGAUUUUAGAUGUUAGCCACGUCUGAAUCUCUGGGAAACUUUACCGUGGGAGCACUGCGCACAAUCCUGGAGCUGACAGCCAAAGAAGCACAGAGGGGGCAGACAGUGGGAUGCCCUGUCCUUGGGUUGCUCCAAGAACAGACACCCAGAGCUCCCCUUGGCUGCCCUGCAAAACGAGCGUGAAGGUGACCAUGGACUGAAUCAUACCCAACAG